rnacentral:lncRNA from 1 species
CGAUCUCGUUGAUUGCUUCAGUUUUCUUGGCUUCAGUCUCCUUCACCUCUUCUGCCGACAGCUCAUUUGCUGAUAUGUUUUCUUCCACUUCAAUAGGUUCAGUAUUCUUGAUUUCUUCUAGGUCUAGCUCUUGUGCUCGUGGGAUAUCAACUGGUGCCUCAGUUGCUAUUACAUGCUCUUCAGGAGCAGCCUCAUCUGCAGGAGCAACAUUGCUUGUCACAUCCUCAGUGAGUUCGCUGAUGUUUGCAUCAGGGCUCUUGUUGAUUGCUUCAGUUUCCUUCACCACUUCUGCUUGCAGGCCACUUGCUGAUCUAUUUUCUUCCACCUCAACUGGUUCAACACUCUUGAUCUCUUCUAGUUCCGGCUCCUGUGCCUGUGGUAUAUCAAAUGUUGUCUCAGCUACUGUUACAUGCUCUGCAUGAGGUUCCUCGUCUGCAGGCACAACGUUGCUUUUCACAUCCUCAUUGAGCUCACUGAUGUUUGCAUCAGUCCUUUUGCUGAUUGCUUCAGUUUCCUUCACCUCUUCUUCUGGCAGGUCACCUGCUUCAGUAUUCUUGAUCUCUUCUAGCUCUGGCUCUUGUGCAUGUGGUAUAUCGACUGUUGUCUCAGCUACUGUUACAUGUUCUUUAUGAGCUGCCUCAUCUGUAAGAGCAAUGUUGCAUUUCAUAUCUUCAGUAAGCUCACUGAUGUUUGCAUCAGUGCUCUCAUUGAUUGCUUCAGUGUCCUUCACCUCUUCUGCCGGUAUGUCACUCGCUGAUGUGUUUUCUUCCACCUCAACAGGUUCAGUAUUCUCGAUCUCUUCUAGUUCUGGUUCUUGUGCUCGUGGAAUAUUAACUGUUCCCUCAGUUGCUAUUAUAUGCUCUUCAUGAGCUGCCUCGUCUGCAGGAUUGACACUGCUUGUCACAUCCUCAAUGAGCUCGCUGAUGUUUGCAUCAAUGCUCUCGUUGAUUGCUUCAGUUUCCUUCACCUCUUCUGCUGGCAAGUUACCUGCUGAUCUGUUCUCCUCCACCUCAACAGGUUCAACAUUCUCAAGAUCCUUUAGUUCCGGCGCUUGUGCUUGUGGUAUAUCAACCGUUGCCUCAGCUGCUAUUACAUGUUCUUCAGGAGCUGCCUCUUCUGCAGGAGUAACAUUGCUUUUCAUAUCCUCAGUGAGCUCACUAAUGCUUGCAUCAGUGCUCUCAUUGAUUGCUUCAGUGUCCUUCACCUUUUCUGCUGGCAGGUCACUUGCUGGUAUGUUUUCUUCCACCUUAACAGGUCUAGUAUUCUGGAUCUCUUCUACUUCUGGCUCUUGUGCUUGUGGUAUAUCGACUGUAUUAUCAGCUACCGUUACAUGUUCUUCAGGAGCUGCCUCGUCUGCAAGAGCAACAUUGCUUUUCACAUCUUCAGUAAGCUCAUUGUUGUUUGCAUCAGUGCUCUCGUUGAUUGCUUCAGUCUCCACGGCUUCACUAUCUUUCACCUCUUCUGCUGGCAGAUCAUUUUCUGAUACAUAUGCUUCCACUUCAGCAGGUUCAGUGUUCUUGGUCUCUUCUAGUUCUGGCUCUUGUGUUCGUGGUAUAUCAACUGUUGCGGCAGUUGCUAUUACAUGUUCUUCAGGAGCUGCCUCGUCUGCACACACGAGAUUGCUUUUCACAUCCUCAGUAAGCUUACUGAUGUUUGCAUCAAUGCUCUCGUUGAAUGCUUCAGUUUCCUUGGCUUCAGUGUCCUUCAUCUCUUCUGCCGGCAUGUCACUAGCUGAUAUGUUUUCUUUCACUUCAACAGGUUCAAUAUUCUUGAUCUCUUCUAGUUCCGGCUCUUGUGCUUGUGCUAUAUCAACUGUUGCCUCAGUUGCUAUUACAUGUUCUUCAGGAGCAGCCUCGUCUGCAAGAGCAACGUUACUUUCCACAUCCUCAGCGAUCUCACUGAAGUUUGCAUCAGUGCUCCCAUUGGUUGCUUCAGUUUCCUUGGCUUCAUUGCCGUUCACCUCUUCUGCCGGCAGGUCACUCGCUGAUAUGUUUUCUUCCACCUCAACAGGUUCAGUAUUCUUGAUCUCUUCUACUUCUGGCUCUUGUGCAUGUGGUAUAUCAACUGUAUCAUCAGCUACUGUUACAUGUUCUUCAGGAGCUGCUUCGUCUGCAAGAGCAACAAUGUUUUUCACAUCUUCAGUGAGCUCACUGUUGUUUGUGUUAGUGCUCUCGUUGAUUGUUUCAGUCUCCAUGGCUUCAGUAUCCUUCACCUCUUCUGCUGGCAGAUCAUUUGCUGAUAUGUUUUCUGCCACUUCAGCAGGUUCAGUAUUCUUGGUCUCUUCUAGUUCUGGCUCUUGUGCUUCUGGUAUAUCAACUGUUGCCUCAGGUGCCAUUACAUGCUCUUCAGGAGCUACCUCCUCUGUAAGGGCAACAUUGUUUUGCACAUCUUCAAUGAGAUCGCUAAUGUUUGCGUCACUGCUCUCAUUGUUUG